UGAAUACGAGAUGCUACGGCGUCGAAGCAGUGUAUGUCAGACUUCCAAGAAAAGCUCGCAAUGUCAUAAAUAAAGAAUGCCUGUACCAUAACCGACACAGGUGGGUAGGUAGAGUAUACUAAGGGGCGCGAGAUAACUCUCUCUAAGGAACUCGGCAAAAUAACUCCGUAACUUCGGGAGAAGGAGUGCCUUCUUUAAGAAGGUUGCAAUAACAAGAUCCAAGCAACUGUUUAUCAAAAACACAGGUCUCCGCUAAGUCGUAAGACGAUGUAUGGGGGCUGACGCCUGCCCAGUGCCAGAAGGUUAAAGAAGUUGGUUAGCUUUUGCGAAGCUGAUGACUGAAGCCCUGGUGAACGGCGGCCGUAACGAUAACGGUCCUAAGGUAGCGAAAUUCCUUGUCGGGUAAGUUCCGACCCGCACGAAAGGCGUAAUGAUUUGGAUACUGUCUCGGAGAGGGACUCGGUGAAAUAGACUUGUCUGUGAAGAUGCGGACUACCUGCACCAGGACAGAAAGACCCUAUGAAGCUUUACUGUAACUUGAAAUUGAAAUUGGACUUUAUUUGCGCAGUAUAGGUGGAAGGCGUUGAAAGUAAUCUUGCGGGAUUAGUGGAGCCAUCAGUGAGAUACCACUCCUAUAAUGUUAGAUUUCUAACUUUGGAUCAUGAUCUGGUCAAAGAACAGUUUCAGGCGGGCAGUUUGACUGGGGCGGUCGCCUCCCAAAUGGUAACGGAGGCGUACAAAGGUUUCCUCUGAACGGGUAGAAAUCGUAUCUAGAGUGUAAAGGCAUAAGGAAGCUUGACUGUGAGACCUACAAGUCGAGCAGGGACGAAAGUCGGUCUUAGUGAUCUGACGGUGCUGAGUGGAAAGGCCGUCACUCAACGGAUAAAAGUUACUCUAAGGAUAACAGGCUGAUCUCCCCCAAGAGUUCACAUCGACGGGGAGGUUUGGCACCUCGAUGUCGGCUCAUCGCAUCCUGGGGCGGUAGUACGUCCCAAGGGUUGGGCUGUUCGCCCAUGAAAGCGGUACGCGAGCUGGGUUCAGAACGUCGUGAGACAGUUCGGUCCAUAUCCGGUGUAGGCGUUAGAAUAUUGAGAGGAGCCUUCUUUAGUACGGGAGGACCGAGAAGGACAUACCUCUGGUGUACCAGUUAUCGUGCCAACGGUAAACGCUGGGUAGCUAUGUAUGGAGAGGAUAACCGCUGAAAGCAUCUAAGUGGGAAGCCCACCUCAAGAUGAGUAUUCUCAUC
rnacentral:rRNA from 1 species